GAUGAACGCUGGCGGCGUGCCUAAUACAUGCAAGUCGAGCGAACAGACGAUGAGCUUUCUCCUCUGACGUUAGCGGCUGACGUGUUUGUAACACGUUGAUAACCUACCUAUAAUUCUUUUAUAACUUCGUGAAACCGUUUCUAAUACCGCAUAAUAUAUUGAACCGCAUUGUUCAAUAGUUCAUUACGGUUUUGCUGUCUCUUAUAGAUGUUUCAGCGCCUCAUUAUCUAGUUGGUAAGGUAAAGGCUUACCAAGGCAACGAUGCGUAGCCGACAUGAGAGGGUGAUAGGAGACACUGGAAGUGAGACACGGACCAGACGCCUACGGGAGGCAGCAGUAGGGAAUAUAGGGCAAUGGGCGAAAGCAUGACGGAGCAAAGCCGAGUGAGUGAAGAAGGUCUUAGGAUCGUAAAACUCUGUUAUUAGGGAAGAAAAAAAGUGUAAGAAAAUAUGGACGUAUUGACGGUAACUAAUAAGAAAGCAACGGCUAACUACGUG
rnacentral:rRNA from 1 species